rnacentral:lncRNA from 1 species
UUUUUUUUUUUUUUUUUUUUUUUUUUGAGAGAUAAAUAGCACGCUAUCCGCUUCGUUUAUUUCAUUAAGAAAUAAACUUAGCUGAAAAUGUGAAUCAACUAGAAUUCGAACUAGGGACCUCGGAUACCAACCACCAAACCCUUUACCACUUGCUUUAGGGACGGUCGGUCCCAAUACAUUGUUAAAUUGUUGGCAUAUACAUGUGAAAGGAUUAAGAUUUAAGAUUUAGGGUGUGAUGCUGAUACUCUAUUUUUUUACUGGUAAACUUUAGUUUGUUCGCUUAUGAUUUAGCACAUUCUUACUUUACAAUUCGGUUGUUCAAAAUAUUACAUUUAACUAUUUAAUAUUUUGUUUUUGAUUCUUUAUAAGGUUUUAUUGUUAAACAUAAUAGUAAAGUUAUACUUUUGUUGUCCGCGGAAUGGUAUACUACCACAUUUUACCAUUCUACGAUAUGUAUUUUUACCACCCUAUGGUUUGCGAAAUAGCUCAGUUUACUAUUCUAUUUAACAGUAGAUACUUAGGAUGAACUUAAAAAAAAAAACUUUAUUUGUUAAGUACAAUUUCUUGAAUCGCGCGAAAAAAGCACUAAAUCACAAGGGGCCAAAUUGAAAUUUAGUUUUUUUUUUUGUUUAAUUAGGAUUCUAUUUGAAAUUGCCAAAAGAAUACUUUACAAAUAGUAAAAAAAUUGAUAAAAAUAUUUUAUUUAUGUUCAUAAAAUAUAUUAUGUUAUGUAAGUCACUUUGUUUUGAAUAGGGAUGUCAACGGGUCAGAUUCGAGACGAAUUUUUAAAAAUCUGAACCCGACUCGAAACCUGAAAUCCGAACCCGUACCCGAACCCAAACCCGAAAAUCCGAAUCCGAAAUAAUUAUUUUUUUUUUCAAUAUUUCAAAAUAUAUUAUAUUAAAUCUAAAAUUUUAAAAUACAAAUUAAAAUAUAACAUCAAAUUUUUAAUUUUUUUCGGAUACAGUCAAAAUCUAUAUCCGUAUCCAUAUCCGUCGGACUUUAUUUUUGAUAUUCAUAUCCGAAACUAUAUCCAUUUAGCAUAAAAGAAAUUCACUGUAUUCAAAUUCGGAGUCAAAUAAAAUUUUGGAUAUCCGU